rnacentral:misc_RNA from 1 species
CUAUAAUAUCGUGACCCACGCCAGCUCUCCACCGUUAGGUGGCUACUGUAAAAAGUAGAAGGCAUGAGCCCACCCGUGAUUAUAUUACCUUUGUUGCUUUGGCGGGCCGCGGCUUCCGCUGUCGGCUUCGGCUGGCAUGUGCCCGCCAGAGGACCACAAUUCUUGAUUUUAGUGAUGUCUGAGUAUUAUAUAAUAGUUA